GUAGAUGCAGCGACGCCGCGUGAGCGAUAAAGCCCUUCGGGGUGUAAAGCUCUUUCGGCAGGGAAGAUAAUGACGGUACCUGCAGAAGCAGCUGCGGCUAACUACGUGCCAGCAGCCGCGGUAAUACGUAGGCAGCAAGCGUUGUUCGGAGUUACUGGGCGUAAAGGGUGCGUAGGCGGCCCUUCAAGUUUGUCGUGAAAUCUCCCGGCUUAACCGGGAGGGUGCGGCGAAGACUGAGGGGCUGGAGUGCGGGAGAGGAGAGUGGAAUUCCUGGUGUAGCGGUGAAAUGCGUAGAUAUCAGGAGGAACACCGGCGGUGUAGACGGCUCUCUGGACCGUAACUGACGCUGAGGCACGAAAGCGUGGGUAGCAAACAGGAUUAGAUACCCUGGUAGUCCACGCCCUAAACGAUGCACACUUGGUGUGGGCAGUUCAUUCUGUCCGUGCCGGAGCUAACGCGUUAAGUGUGCCGCCUGGGGAGUACAGUCGCAAGGCUG
rnacentral:rRNA from 1 species